GAUGAACGCUGGCGGCGUGCCUAAUACAUGCAAGUCGAGCGAACAGAUGAGGAGCUUUCUCCUCUGACGUUAGCGGCGGACGGGUGAGUAACACGUGGAUAACCUACCUCUAAGACUGGGAUAACUUCGGGAAACCGGAGCUAAUACCGGAUAAUAUAUUGAACCGCGUGGUUCAAUAGUGAAAGACGCUUUUUCUGUCACUUAUAGACGGAUCCGCCCCGCAUUAGCUAGUUGGUAAGGUAACGGCUUACCAAGGCAACGAUGCCUAGCCGCCCUAAAGGGGUGAUCGGCCACACUGGAACAGAGACACAGUACAGACACCUAGAGGGAGAAGCAGUAGAGAAUCUUCCGCAAUGGGCGAAUGCCUGACGGAGCAACGCCGCCGGAGUGAUGAAGGACUUCGGAUCGUAAAGCUCUGUUAGUAGGGAGGAACAAAUGUGUAAGUAACUAUGCACGUCUUGACGGUACCUAGACAAAAAGCCACGGCUAACUACGUG
rnacentral:rRNA from 1 species